rnacentral:rRNA from 1 species
CCCUAUGGGGUGCAGCAGGCGCGAAAACUUUACAAUGCCGGCAACGGCGAUAAGGGAACCUCGAGUGCCAGGUUACAAAUCUGGCUGUCGUGAUGCCUAAAAAGCAUUGCAUAGCAAGGGCCGGGCAAGACCGGUGCCAGCCGCCGCGGUAACACCGGCGGCUCGAGUGGUAACCGUUAUUAUUGGGUCUAAAGGGUCUGUAGCCGGCCGGAUAAGUCUCUUGAGAAAUCUGGCAGCUUAACUGUCAGGCUUUCAGGAGAUACUGUCUGGCUCGAGGCCGGGAGAGGUGAGAGGUACUUCAGGGGUAGGGGUGAAAUCUUGUAAUCCUUGAAGGACCACCAGUGGCGAAGGCGUCUCACCAGAACGGACCUGACGGCAAGGGACGAAAGCUAGGGGCACGAACCGG